GCUCCAGUAGCGUAUAUUAAAGUUGUUGCAGUUAAAAGGCUCGUAGUCGAACUUGUGGCCUGUGCACCGGUCCGCUCUCUAGUAGGGCGAGUGCUGGAGUGCACGGGUCAUCCUUCCGAAGAGCACCUCUGCCUUGACUGGGUUGGUUGUGCGAUUUGGGACCUUUACUGUGAGUAAAUCAGAGUGUUCAAGCAGGCAUU
rnacentral:rRNA from 1 species